ensembl:lncRNA
CCGGAGCCCUGGGGUCCGAGAGAGGGCGAGGGGGCGACGUGGCCGCCCGACCUUCUACCUGCGCGCUCUCCGCCCUGCGCCACUAGCAGCGCCGCGAACGCCCUGAGGGGGCUCUGCCCUGGACACUAGGGGCUCCCGGGGGCUCGGGGCUGCGCCGCUGGCCGGGACCAGACGUCGCCUGGCCGGCCUCUCCUUGCCGAGCUGAGUUGAGACACAUCAGAGGAUCCCUUCUUGUUUUUUUUUUUUUUUUCAACUCCCUCUUUUCUCUUUCUUUUCUUUUUUUGCUCACGGGAAUCUGGGAUUGUUUACGUUCCGUUCCCCACUUUUACCCCUCGUCCUGUUUCAUUCCUCUUUUCCAUGUAUUUCCCCCAUUAGAUGCAAAAAGCACGUUCCUGACUUUUACAUUACGCAUUUUCAUGUACAUCUUUUUGCGUAUCUGUUGGAGAGUAGAGCUAAGUGUAUUUUAUGCCGGGUAUUUAAAUUGUGUAUGGAAUCUGUAGGCUUUUUGUGGAGCUAUUAAAAAAUACAUUUUACUUUGCAAAUUAAUCUGUUGCUCAGACUCUGACUUUGGCAAUAUGUUGUGCAGUUCCUUCGAAUGUGGCAAAUUCUUUGAUUACAAGUGCUUGCAAAAAAUCACCCACUCAACUUUUUCCCCCUUGUUGCUUUGAAGCAGGGUAAAUAUGACAAUUUUUAUUGGUCUCAAUUAUUGAAACUUGAUCUAAGGACUAUAUGGAAGAAGCGGGCUGAUUGCCUUUUUCUGGCCUCCAGUUCUCGUGACUUUUAAAAGGGGGGUUGUUAAGUACCUUUGAAGAAUAUGACAUACGGUGAUCGCUGGGCUGUAAUGCAAAUUACAGAACAUAAAUUCACUUUGAAAUUAAAAAAAAGAGACUGGAGCCCUUUCAGUGGGGACACUUGAGGAUUUAUUAUGUUUUUUAAAAAAUUACUUUUUUUCUCCCUACUUUGGGAGAAUGGCUAGUUCCAGACCAACUUAUUUGGAGGUCUGUGGAAAGAGGCUUGGGAAAUGGGAGAGGGGGAGAAGAUUGAUCACAAUCUGCAUAAUCGAUAGGGCAGCGUGCUGCAAUCUUGUACCUACAUUUACUGUAAAUUUCUACAAUAUCUGCAGCGUGGGUGCUCUAGUGCCUUGCUUGGCUUCUUAGAGCAGAUUUAGAAGCAGUGCAAGCAGAAUUUACUGUCAGCUCUCCGGAAUAAUAUAGAGGAAGUCCACUGGAUUGUGGCUCAUUUUAGAACUCCUUCAUUUUUAUUUUUUGAUGAAUCUAUUUACAUGUGGGGGUUUCCAGUACUGAACCCCCAAAGUGUUGGUAUCCUAUAGGUUGGGAGUGGAAAGUAUUGGGGUGGGGGAGAGGGGAUAGGAAUUUACUUAUUGAAUUACCACUUCAGCGGCUCUCUGCUUAUCUUAUAAUGUGAGAGAUCUUUAACUAGUGCAAGGAAUUUAGAGAGAAGAAUCCAAGAGAGAGUAUUCCACCAGAGACUGAAGCAGUGUCAAAAGUAAGGAUUGCUGUGUGUGUGCAUAUGAGAGAGAGAGAGAGAACACAGACACUUAUCUUACAGUCAGGCUUGAAAGCUUGGUGGUAGGUGAAUCCAUAUUUGGAGAUGAUUUUGAAAUAGUCUAGCAAAUGGUGCACGAGCAGGAUUUCAUGAAAAGUGUACACCGAGUCAGUUUUGAAAGGAUUGUGGUUUGGGGAGAUGAGGUGUGGGCAGGAAAACCCACUGUAGGCCAGCCGCCUUCCUCUGUCUCUGGGUCUCCUCCCUUCCCCCCUGCCUGAGUUCCAGUUUUUAAUUACUUAAUGCUGAAACGCACAGGGCUUAUAUAAAUAUUUGCAAAUGCUCUUUCCUAUUGAUUUCUCUGAAUAAACUGCCCUACUCAGGUCCAGAGAGGAGGCAAUUCAGAUCUGCGGACUUUUUAAACAUACAGAGUCUCUGGAGGAGGGUUGGUCUGUGCACGCGUGUGUUUAUGGGUGGAAUUGUAGACAUGAAGACUUUGGGGUGCUGCAAGAAGAGUCCAGGGCCUCUGUGUGGGAACUGGCCCCAAGACCUGGCCAUUCUGACACAUGGGUGCACGCGCGCGUGUGCGUACCUAUGUGUGUGUACGUUUAUGUACUGUGUGGGUGUCAACACUGUGGGAGUCUAAAUGCAUUGCAGUUACACUACUCCCCCCCCACCCCGCCCCCCAUUAAAUAUGGAGCAGUUUUCCAGGGCUUGGUGACUGCCUUCUCCUCAGGGUCACAUUGAGUUUGAAUCUGACCCAAGGUGCAGGAAUCCUGCAACAGGGAAAUAAAAGAAUAUACAGAAUGGGGUCAGGUCAGCUGCUCAGAGGCCAAAACCCCUACAGCUGCUUUGAUUUUAUUUUGUGUGUGUGUAUAUUUUAGGCUCCUCCUGCCAUGUUACAAAUUGGGCCUUCCCCCUCUCAGGUGUUUGCUCUGUAGCUUAAAGGCACCAUAGUCUCUGCCUGCAUGGAUGUCUGCUCCCAGCAAGAACAGAAAACCUACAAUACCAAAUCCAAAACAAAACAAGGGAGGAGGGGGAGGGAAAAAAAAAAAAAAAAAACACCCUAUUGAGUUCAGGCAAAUAAGGUUGGGUCUCCAGAUCCGAUUACAAAGCAGCUUUGAAUAUGCAAGACAGCACACAGGACCAGUUAUUCCAGUUACAACAAACUAUUAAAAAAAAGAGAGAGAGAGAAAAGAAAAGGCAUGUUUAGGUCGUAAUUUGUUAGUACAAGGAAAAGAAUCCCACAUAAAGCUGCCUUUUUUUUCCCCUGCCUCCCUUUGCUGGCUUCACAGAAUUCACUCACCCUUUCCCGAUUUGUCUAUUGUAUAGUUUCCUUUAUUAAAAUCUUUGGAUUUAGGAAGAUCGCUGCAAGCAACAUAUUUUCUGUAUUUUUUUCCUUUAUCUUAGAGGAGAGUUGGCAGGGGUUCUGUGGUUUGCAGUUACACAAUAUGUUAUCAUGUUUUUAAUCACUAAAUCAUUGCAGUGGUUAUAGAUUUACAGUCUUGGGGUAUUACAGAAAGAAGCAACGGCGGCUGUAUAUAUAUGCUUUUAAAUUACACCCAUGUAAACUGAGUACAGCGGCUGUGAAUAUGGUCGGCAGACUUCGUCUCUCCCCCGCCCCCCAGCACCUUAUUUCUUUUUCCCUCUGUGAUUUUUUUUCAAAUUGUUCAGUUUGCUUAAAAUAAACUAUACCCCCCUCCUAUGUUCCUUUUCUCUUCACACCUUCCCCCCCCUCCACACACAAUUUUUUUUAAAUGUUUUUAUUUUAGACCUCUAACCCCAGAUAAGGUAGAAUUUAAACUCCUAAAAUAAGACUUUGGAUCAGGGAGGAGAGUAAUAAUAAUUUAAAAAGUAGAUUUCCUAAGAAAUCCUCUUGGUUUUCACACCCACCUCCAGUAUAGGGAUGGAGGGCCAGUAUGCAAAUCUGGAGGUGGGGGUGGGCAGAGGGGAGAGAAGGCAGGCCCAUGGUGCUUGCCUGCCUGGGACCUCCAGUGUCCUGUCACCAUGAACCCACUUUCAGCUUCUGUUUUUCAUAUUAUUAUGUAACAGAAUCCUUGGCAGCAUUAAAAAUUCAGUAUUACAAGCUGAUUGUAAUGCUGCCUCAUUAGACAGCACUGUCUGGCCUUGUAUUAAGUGAAACACAGAGCAUGGCUUUUAGAUUAUAAACACCAAUAAAUAUUAAGGAUCAGCAGAGGGGGGAAAUAGUCAGCUGGGUUUUUGGCCCCUUCUGGUUUUAUAUCCCCUCCCAUCGUCUUCCCUUUAUCAUCCCUGCCUCCUCCCGUGGUACCCCACUCCCCCCCCACCCACGGUAACUGUCAUCUAUUUUCUUGGCAUGCUGAUAUGUCGACCCUGGUGACAUUUUAGGAGGGCUUUUUAUAGAGUUAUCUUGUGUACACAAAAGGUUUGGAAGUUUGUUUUGUUUUGAUCUGCAAUAAACAGGCCCUUCACUUUGCUGAUGUCAUUUCCGUUCAUAUUUGAGUUGUUUAUUGUGCUUCUUCGCAGGGCCCUCACAUCCCUACCCCCACCUCACAUUUCAGCCAGAGCCUGUGGCUGCCUGGGGAAGAGGGGACACAUUUCUAAGCUGCCAGGUCUGGGUUCAAAGGCUGAGGGUUUCAUGUCACUGCUUCGUCCUAGGGUUCGCCCGCUGGGGAAGAUGUUUCCAGCUUCCAGUCUGGUUAAACACUCCGACAUCCACUUGCCCUGGUAUUUUCAUGGCAUGUAGUCAUUCACCUCAGCUUUCUUUCUUUGAAGGAUCCCCCGUACACACACACCUUGUCUAUGUCUUUAGUACAUCCUUACUGUCCACAUCUCCAUGCAGCAACUCCCCCCUCCAAAAAAACCCCCUAAUCUCAUAAUGAUGACUUUGAUUCAGUUGCAAAUCUGAAGCUGACUUUAGGGACUUCAUGCUGUGAAAAAAAGAAAACGUUUCCAGGCGUUGCCCCACAGUCUCUCCCUCACCACCUUCUAUCCCUGUUCAGUUUUUUUUUUUUUUCCUCCUUUUGGGUUUAUUUUUCUGUUCCCUGCCUUUUUGUAGACAUAAAGGCCAUUCUGAUGUUACUGAAAAUGACCGCAGUGUCCAGCGUCUCUUAUUUCCAUGUGAUCUACAAUCGGAAUGGAACCCCUCCUCCAAAAGAAAAAAAAAAUAGAGUGAGGAGAGGAAGGAGGAAAAACUGAGUGUGUAGGCCCCCAAGGCUUUCCUCUAAUAGGAUGAUGGGUUUUAGGUUUAAAAAAAAAUAUUAUUGUUUUGUUCUUUUAGCUUUAGAAAUAAUAGGGAGAGAGGGAAAAGCAGUCAUUAGGAAGUUCACUGAGCUGCUUUCCAACUAAGACGGGUGAAAAAUGAAGCUGCAUUGACACUUGGCUUCAUGUGAAAGCCCCAGUAACCUCUCCCCCCUUCCAUGGCCCUGGCCUUUUGUUCCUGGAGAACGGAGCUAAGGUGCUUUUUCUCCCAGACCAAAGGCAGCAGGCAAGGAGUCCCCUUGUGUGCGCAUCGCCUUUAGAUGGCCUUCUCAUGGUUAUUGUCAAUGCAGACUCCCCCAAACAAUUGCUCCAGGGAGACACAAAAGCGAAAACAUUUGUCCUAUUUUUUUAACCUCUUUGUUUUAGAUUUUUUUUUUCCCACCCAUUCUUUAAAUUUCACAGUUUCUAUUUGUCUGCAGAGAGACAAACGGAACAGCAUGAAGCAAGCGCAUUUUACCGUAGGCCUUACUGCCGAUUGGAAUGGCCUCAAUAGAAAUCCAGAUUCUCAAAAACACCGGCUGACUUGGAGGAGAUGGGAAAUUUCAGCUUGGGGCUCUUAAGUGAGCUUACCACAAAUUUUAGACAAAAAAUGCACUAAAAGGAAAAGAUAAGACAAUGGGAUUCUGGGAUCAUCCGGGGGAAGUGUGAAAAGGGUCAUCUUUUGUUUUUCUCUUAGGAUCCUGCCCCGAAGAAGUGGUCGCUUGAUAGGAAGGAAUCACAAAUCCAAAUGCAAUUUGGAUUCAUUAAAAAAAAAAUUCUGGUUCUGUUUUACUGUGCUCCUGGUGCUUCAGGGACUGCUUUAAUGCACGUAUGGCGGGGGCUGUGUUGAGAAUUUUUUUUAAACUAUGAUUUUAUACGUAGAAAGGCCACAUCCCCCUCCCCCUUUUCUUUCCUCCCUUGUUUCCUUUUUCCUUUCUUCUCCUUUCAACCUGCUUCCCCUCCAAGAAUUCAGCGGUUUGUAUCAGGCUGCGGGCAGAGGGAUGGGUCAGACCGUGGGGAUGGCCCAUAAGCAGAAUAGCCCUCCUCUUUUUCCUGGGCGCAGACAAAGCACCUCUCUCCUGUAAUGCAUAUGGACCCUGAUUUUGAUGCUGUCCUUAAGAAUCUGGCUGCCUUUUCAUUAAAAUUCUCAAUUUCAAGGUUUAGAAACACAAAUGUAAGAAUCCCCCUGGGUAUAAAAGUCUUGCAUGGCAAAUUCUCUUGGCCCUUUCAGAAAUUAUAUAUAUAUAUAUAUAUAUCUUUUUUUUUUUUUUAAAGAGCAAGCUCCUCACCUAAUGUUUUAAAGCUGUUUUAAGGCAAGGUCUUUAUUUUUGCUUUCCAAAAACUUGGGCUUUGUAACUGAAAUUUGAGGAAAGCUCUCCAUUACAGUUUUUUUCUUUUUUCCUUCUUUAAAUGGUUCCUCAUUUAUAUCUUUUAAAAAUUGUCAUUGAUAGACUUAGGUUCUUAGCUGGGGAGGUUGGGGAAGUAAACCAGAUAGCAUUCCACCUAAGAUUUGAGGGGUAAAAAUUAAUCUAUGGCAUUAGCAUUGCAGCAAGAGAUGGAGGCCUUGAGGUUUGUGACAGAGAAAUGUGAAUCAGAACAUCUGUUAGGCCUUGGCACACCAGCCUCUAAUCGUUCUGGAGGUGAAUGUGGGCUGUUCUGAGGAAAGCGUGCAUUCUGUACCAUACCCAGGAGGACCUGGCCACCCAAUGGGUACCAGGCCCCUAAAUAUAACUGCCUAGAAAGAAUGGGGUGAAUUCAGGGCACGCAGUGCAGUUCAGCUCCAAAUGUUUCCUUGCUUAUUUCAGGGACUUUUGUUUUUGUUUUGUGCCCUCUUCUGGCUUUUUCUUUGUUAAAGCCUCAAGGUUAUUUAAGCACUAGUUUUAAAAAUCAAUGUGUAUGUAUAAUUUAAUAAAAAUAGAAGGCUCUGGAAGAAUACCCAAAUCUGCCUCGACCCAGUUGUGUUGUGAAGACAAGAGCCCAGGUUUAGCUACAAGUUAGAAUGCUGACAGUCGCUGUCUCUUAGCUCAGAGAUCAUGUUUACCUUUGCUGAAGUAAGAGGAGCAGCCCUGGAGAGAGAGAGAGAGAGAGAGAGUGAGUUUGAGAGAGUGUGUGUGUGCGUGCGUGUGUGUGUGUGUGUGUGUGUGUGUGUGUGUGUGUUUGUGUGUGUGUAUAGGGGAGAGAGAGAGAGACGACCAGUUUGGCUGGAUGGGGUCUUUGUAAUUUACCAGCCAGUUCAGUAAGCGCCAGGGGACUGGCCUCUGACUUGGAAAGUGGCUAAGGGGAGGAGUAGGAAAGAGGUUAGCAUUCCCUGAUUUAUUUUUAAAUGUUUAUCCUUUUGGCUGUUGCCAGUUACGCUUUCCAGAUGAGACAAGACUAGUUACGGAGAACUGGAAGGGAAGAAUUGCCUUUUCUGAGAGUGGGUUUAUUUGCCAACAGUGUCCAGGACGCAGUGAGGAGGGUGCCCACCUGUCACUGCUGGGUAGGCUGUAGGUGUCACAUCAGACUGCUGCCCUGGGAAGAGCUGGGGCCUUUCAGAGCCGGGGGACAAAAUUUGCAACACGUAUGUCAGAAAAACUGUUGAUUCCAUAUGGAAGUGCGAAACUUGCAAAACUCACUGAAGAGGUAUUGUUUUGGUUAGCGAUGAAAAUAAGUUUUGGUUGCAGUAACAUGCCAACUUGUGUGUAAUCCUUUAUAUUUCUGAUGAUGCAGAGGCCAUAGACCACCUGCCUGUGGGUUACCUGUUAAAUCUGUGCCUGUAGCAAAGGCAGGCCUGACCAGGCCUUUACCUUGUCUGCAGCGUGGUGUCGAAUUAAAGGGAAGGAACUCAGGGUCCUUAUUGGUUCUACCUGUCAGGCCUCUGAGGUGUCUGGGAGGCAGAUGCAAGUGUCUGCCACUUGGGAUGGCAGUUUCACACUGCCCAGACCUCCACAAUCCUUCCAGGUGUCUAGAUGGCUGGAUCUUUGGGCUUUCCAGCUUGUAUUUUUGUCGAAGAUACCUAUCUGUUGGCCCACCUGGUUUAUGAUAUCACCAGAUUAGGAGGUUUUUGCCUGUUAGUAAAAGUUAAGACAAAGAAGCAGAAUUAGAUUUUCUGGGAGUAGAAACAUUUUUGUAUUGUCUUUAUCUGCUGGGCCGUGGGUUGCUUCCAUGGAGGCCUGAAGUCUCCACUUGCCUGAAGACAUUUCCAGAGACAUCUCUGACUUGUCUGUGCCAUGUUACUUGCAUUAUUGCUAGCAUCAUCAUCUUCAUGUAUUAUUCAUAGUCACUUUUUCAAUUAAAUUAUUAAUUGGUUUUCUUUAAGGUGUUCUCCACUUAUGUGGCUAAAAUAAAUAAUCGUGUUUUGAAAAUACCACCUGUUCUUGGACCUGAAGUCAGGCGGUCUGUAAACAGCUCUGCAGUGGCCAUGCUCUGGUUUAGAAAAACACCCUCUGCUUGUCCCUCUUCCAUCUCCAGUCCCCCUGCCCCCCUCACUCUCUCAUGUGUGACAGAAUUUGGCUUGUGCUGUCCUUUGUCCCUAAUCGGACAUGAUUCCCUAGAGGCAGUCUUUUCUCCCUGGACUUUAGCUGGAAAAAAAUUUUUUUUUUGCGGGGUGGCGGGGGGAGGCUCUUUUUUUGAACUAAAAUGUAGAGAGGGGCUGUCCUUCCCCAACAGGUUAAGGUAGUUAUAUUAAUUUGAGCCCAAAUUAUAUUGUGCAGAAAUGCCUUCUAGUUUUCAUUGCCCCUUUCCCUCCUGCAUCAGAGUGUGCUUAACGCUAAUACGAUUCCAUACAUACAGCUCCUUCGCCUCGUGAGCUUAUUAUAUUUCUAACACUUGCACGGUUCAUUAUUGUGCAGUCAGAAAGGACUCUCAGGGCUGUGGGGCCAGCCGGGGUGGGUGGCUUUCAGAAAGGACGAAAGCAGGUGCCUUUCUGUGCUGAGAAUCCGGAGUGAAUUCAGACUGAGCCUGGGACUCCAGCAGGGAGGACAGGGGACUUCCGGUGAGAUUUCUGUGGUGCUGCCUUUUGCGUAUCUGAAUGGAGAAGACGAACCUGGGGAGACAGAAAAGUGUCCAGCGACUGCUUUGACCAACUGGAGUGGCCACAUUAAAUCUGCCCCAGGUGGUAGAAUCUCCCUAGGAAGGGACAUGACCUGUGGCUUUUUAAGGCAUGUUGUUAAAGACACCAAGGUUAAUUGCAGGCUGGACUUUUUCUCUCUUUCUGUCUCCUUUUUCUUUCUUUCUCUCCCAUGAAAAACUCUAUCCUUAAACUCUCAAUGGAGAGCAGGAGAUUUUUUUUUUUUAAUAAGUUUCUGCAGCUGAAAAACAGAAGUGCUCUGUAAAGCAGUUAAUAGGUUGGGUGUGUGUUUCAAAUAAAUUCCUGUCCACAUUGGCUAAUGUCCGUACGCUGGAGUGGCCUGGCUGUGACGUGGCUGGGGCCCGGAGACCCAGGGCUCCGGUUCGGAGGCCCCAGGCUUCUUGUGUUGGCCGAGGGCGCGUCCCUUUCUUCUCGCCCGACUCUAGGCCGGCCCCUGACUUUUGAUGAGUGAGGGGUCAGCGCCUGGGGAGGACCAGGCUUUGUUCCCGCCGGGCUGGUUCUUCGCGCGGUGCAGGCCGAGCCGCCCGGAGCUCUGUCUCUGGGCGCCAGGCCCGGCCUGCCCGGAGGCCCGUCCCCGAAGCGCAGCCGAGCGCUGGGGCCUCGCGCGCCCGUGUGUGUCCCCGUG